ensembl:rRNA 5S_rRNA 5S ribosomal RNA
AUCUAUGGCCAUACCAUCCUGACCCUGUCGGAUCCAUUGAUCUCAGAAAUUAAGAAGGGUUGGGCCUCAUUAGUACUUGAAUGGGAGACCACCUAGGAAGACCAGGUGCUGUAGGCG